UCCUUUGUUCGUGGAAAUUGAUAAAGAGAAGCUUGUUUGUAGUUUUCUUGAGGAUUUGAUUGUUUUAGCUGGUAUAAAGGCCGCGUAUUUUAGUGUUGAAAUUGGUGUUGUGAUUUGAGGUUAGGCUAAAAGUUAAGAAAACUUAUUGUUGAGUUUGUGGUUACUGUUGCUGAAGAUAGAGAGAGUGGAUGUGAGAUGAUGUAGAUGGUUCUGAACGAAAAAGUUACUAAGUUGCUUCUUGUGUUGAUUGAUAUGUUGGUGCAUAUUGGAGAUGGCCCUUGUUGGGGAGACGCGGCUAAUGAUGAUGGAAAUAGAGGGGAGUUGAGUAUGUGUAUUUACGGUAAGGAGAGUUUGGGUAGGUUAGCAAUUACAUUAGGGGGAAGUGUAAUUGUGCCUAAUUUGCCUUCGACAAUUUUCAACUUUUUAGAUCAUGAAGAUUGGCAAAUUCAUUAUUCUGUUGUUACCGCGAUUGGGGUUAUAUCAGAGGGAUGUUCAAAGGUGAUAGUAAUAUGCUCAAAGGAUAUGAAGGACCUUGUAGAGUCUAUAGUGAAACUAAUCUUUGAUAAUCACCCUCAAGUGAGAUGGGUAGUGAUUCAUGCAGUUGGUCAGCUAUCAAUGCAUAUGAGCCCGUAGUUUCAAGAACCAUAUCAUCAGCUGGUUCUUCUAAAUUUGAUAGCAGUAUUGGAUGAUUUUGAUAAUCCCAGGUUGUAGGUAAAUUCUUGAUGUGAUGUUGAUGUUUUAAUGUUAUAACAUCUUGUUAAUGACAUAUGACUGAUUUAUUGACUCUUUGUUCUCAAGUUGAAUAGUUAUGUAGCGUGGAAAGUACAUGUCGUUGCCUACUAAUCUUUUUCUCGUUUGAAUAGGCACGUGCAACUUCAAUGAUACUGGUGUUCAGCCACAAUUGAAGUGCAGAUAUUUUGAAACCUUACUUGCAUAAUAUAGUGAGUAAACUAGUCGUGUUUUUACAGAGUGGAAUGACAAUAAUGAACGAAGCAGCUCUGGCAACUUUAGGCUUUUUAGCUAUUCAAUCACAGGAGGGCACUGCAUACAUAUAUGAUUCUGUAAUGCCUCACCUGAAAGUUAUCUUGGUAGCUACUACUAGUGAUACAAGUCAAAAACUCCAUGCCAAAUACUUGGGAACGCAUUACCAUGAUUACAAUGGAGGUUGGAAAUCUAGCAAUCGUUGAUCUUGUUGCAAAGGUCACUGCCGCACUCGUUUCGCUGCAAGAAACUCAUAUGGAGGAAGAAGAUCCAAUGAGGUGCCUUUUGUUACAAGUAUGUUGAUACACUAUCAAUUUUCUGCAACUUUGUUUUCUUCUCUUUAUGGUUUAUUGUCUUAUUUACACAUUAUCCAUUUUGCACAUCACUGAUUCUGUCACAGCUACCUGGGCCUACAUAUUAACUGGAUAAUAAAAUGUGAAAGUUGU